rnacentral:tRNA from 1 species
GCACCGGUAGCUCAGUUGGAUAGAGUACAUGGCUACGAACCAUGGGGUCAGAGGUUCAAAUCCUCUCCGGUGCG